AUUUCCUCUAAAUAUUCUUUCAUCAAAUAGAAAAAUCUGUUCUUAUCAGCUUAACAUCUGCUGGGUCCUGCAUCACAGGACUAGAAAUUUAAGACAUUGUUGGCUCGUGACAGAGUGCUAAGAGUAAGCUCUACCUAUAUCACACGAUGCCUCCCCACUCUCGAACUCUGCUAUAGUAACCAAA